rnacentral:rRNA from 1 species
GACAGAGGGUGCAACCGUUGCUCGGAAUCACUGGGCGUAAAGGGCGUGUAGGCGGGAAGGAAAGUCAGAUGUGAAAUCCCUGGGCUCAACCCAGGAACUGCAUUUGAAACUCCCUUUCUUGAGUGUCGGAGAGGAAAGCGGAAUUCCUGGUGUAGCGGUGAAAUGCGCAGAUAUCAGGAGGAACACCGAUGGCGAAGGCAGGUCUCUGGGCCACUACUGACGCUGAGAAGCGAAAGCGUGGGGAGCGAACAGG